ACACAUGCUAAAAUUUGGCAAAGUGGCUUUUUUCUGGCCAACGAUGUAUGAAGGUACAAAGGACUUUGUCAGGAGAUGCCACCGAUGUCAAAAACAUUUGAAUAUCAACUCACGAAAUGAAAUGCCUCUCAUAAAUAAUCUUCAAGUAGAACUUUUCGAUGUAUGGGGCAUUGAUUUCAUAGGGCCAUUCCCUAUUUUCGGGAAUUGCGAGUAUAUCUUAGUAGCUGUGGACUACGUGUCCAAAUGGGUAGAAGCCCUACCUUGUCGAUCAGCUGAUUCAAAACAUGCCAAGAGAAUGUUCCAUGAAGUAAUCUUUUUUCGCUUUGGUAUACCCCGGAUAGUUAUAAGCGAUGGAGGUUCCCACUUCAUUGACAAAAUCUUCCGGAAGUACCUAGCUGAUCAUGGAGUUCGACACAACGUCGCAACACCAUACCAUCCUCAGACUAGCGGUCAAGCCAAAACAUCUAACAAACAAAUCAAAAAUAUUUUACAAAAGACCGUAGAUGAGAUGGGUAAGGGGUGGAAGGACAAACUUCCUAAUGCACUUUGGGCAUAUAGAACUGCAUUCAAAACACCCAUAGGCAUGACACCUUAUCAACUUGUAUAUGGAAAAACUUGUCAUUUGCCUAUGGAAGUAGAGUUUAAGGCUCAUUGGGCACUCAAGAAAUGGAACAUGGAUCUCCACCUCGCUAGCGAGAAUCGUCUGAUGCAACUAUCUGAGCUAGAAGAAUGGAGAGAGAAAGCCUACCACAAUUCAAGGAUCUAUAAAGAGAGAACAAAACGAUGGCAUGAUAAGAGAAUCAAGCACAAGGAGUUUAAGCCUGGAGAUAAGGUUCUACUAUUCAAUUCAAGAGUUAAGCUCUUUGGGCAUGGUAAGCUACGAAGUAAGUGGGAUGGACCAUACAAGGUUAUUGACACUUCAACUCAUGGAGCCAUUACCAUCCAAGAUGACAUAGGUAACACUUUUAAGGUAAAUGGUCAACGCUUGAAAUCUAUCUCGAGCCACAAAACAACCUGGUAGAGGAACUUGAUGUGAUUGAGUUCAUAGAAUUCUCAUAUUAAGCUCUCAUAAGCUCUAGACAAUUACCUAACCCUUAAUAUGCUCCACAAGUUUUGUUGUCUAUUUGGGUUGUGUAGGAUUUUGAGGCUUAAGAAGAAUGAGACCGAACAUGCAGGCCACAAGAGUGAACGACUAUGUCAACAUCCAGCUUGGGGGAGGCACCCCCACGUGUAUCUAGAUAAGUAUUACUUUUCUUUCUUGGUUUUAUUUACUAGGAUUCAGAAAUAAAUAAAAAAGAUGCAUAACCAUGAAACCAAAAAAAGUUUUUCUUUUGAGUAAUAUACAAUAGUUUUGUAUAAUCCUAAGUUUUAAAUAAAAUAAAAAGAAAGUUUGAUCCAAGUCUAGGUAAUUGACAAACAUGAUAUGAGAAGGUCUAAGCUACUAUUUAACUUGUUCUAAGUUUUGCUAGAGUUCUGGAGAUUUUAUCUUUUGAAAAUCUAAAAAUAAAUGAGAUCCUAUUUGACAUAAUACCUAGAGUCUUAUAAGAUAUAAAUAUUAAAACUGUGGGCACUUGCUUUGUUCAAGCCAUUGUUAAUUCUUGUAGUUUUGGUUGAGAGAAUUAUCAUGCUCUAAAGAUCAAGAUCUUUUUGUUUUAAAAAUAUAAAAGAUUCACUCUUCCGAAGUAUUAUUGCGUUAGAGGCAUGGGACUAUGCAAAAAUUUGAUUCGAAAAAAAGAGUGAGACAAGAGGUAAAAAUGGAUAAGUGUCUGAAGUAGAAUAAGGGGUACAAAGAUACCCACCUGAGUGGAAAAAAUGGACACGUGUCCGAUAGUAGAAUUAGGGGUACUUGUUGCCCACAUAAAAAAAGAAGAGAGAGAGACUGAAAAAAAAUAAAAAAAUGACAGCCCAUGGUCCCUCUAAUAAGCAAUAUGCCAGUAAGAGAUGACAAACUUUUCAAAAAAGUCAAAGGUCUUGAUCUAGGAGUAUGACAUUCCUCUCCCUUGCUCCGAGCAUUGACAUAGCAAAAUGCAAAGUAAGUAUGCUAAAACUUUUAAAGCUCUACUUAUUUAUCUUUCGAGAAGAAGGCAGAUGCCUCAGUUUUAUUUUGGAAACAUAAAAAAAAACUCCAGUAAGACAGAAGAACUUGAGACAUAGUGCUUGACUUGAUCGUUCUGUUUUUUAAUCACUUAAGACCUUAGUGAUAACUUAAAAACCCUGUAGUAAGAGGCAUAAACGUAACCCCUGUUUCCUUGCUGAUUUUAGCUUUGCUCAGGGACGAGCAAAUGUUAAGUUUGGGGGAGCCUGUUGAUGGUCCUUAAGUAUCAAAUUUAAUUAUCAAAUAAACAAAGAAAAAGAUCCAAAUGCAACCGACAUCCAGACUUAGGGUUUUAUCUGACAGAAUUCCACGAGUUUUGGUGUUUGUCUAUUUCUGCAGGGGGUUAUCAGGAAAUACGGAAGAAAGGCCCACAUGUCGGGAUUACAUAGAGAUAUUAACGAGCCGCACAAUUUUCUACCAUCUAGAAGACUCCAGAAGCCACGGGAACAAAUGGGAAGGCAAACGGGCUUAGAGACAGGGCGCCCGCCCUACUCUCCUGGGCGCCCGCCCUGCUACGGUGCCCAAUCAGAGUCCUUUUCGCGGAUCGUGCUCCACCGACCUAAGGAAAACCGUGCGAUUAAUGUCGGUUUGAUCCGACGGCCCAGAUUCACUUGAGGGGACUAUAUAAGCAGACCCCCACCAGCCCCUGGAGGCAUACCUCUUCUACAGAAUCAAAGUUAGGGUUUCAAUUCUUUAUCCAAGUAGAGAGGAUCCCUCUAGUUCAUCUAGUUCUAGUUCUAGUUCCUCUAGUUCUAGUUCUAGUUAGUUCUAGUUGUAAUCUAGAAAAUAGGGAGAGAGAAGAGGAGAGCGGAGGAGGAGGAGCCGGAUCUGUCGGAUCUUCCUCAACAUUGUACUUUUGCAGCAACUGGUUCGUUCUUCAUUGUUCUCCAGGUUCUUCAAUUCAUAAUUCCUGAGUUCUUUAAUUACUUUUAUUUACAUUCAAGUUAUUUAUUGGAUUCCCGCUUGCAUCAAGUGGUCUAAUCUUUGCAACAUUAGAGUAGUAAUUAAUAGAUUAGACGUGGUGUUUAGUCUUGCAAUUACCUAGAAUUGCACCCAAUCCUGCGGAUUGUUGUGGUAGCCCUAGGGUAGUGACAACCCUAACGGUCGACGUAUUCCACCUCGUUCGGAUCGGUGUUUGUAGGAUCGUAGUUAGAGCUUCCUAGCCCCCUUCUCAUCUCUUUCUGCGGUUAGUGUUCUGAUGUCUCGAAAUAAAUAAUCUUUGUGGUAAUUCUUGAUUCUUAGAUCAACUAGAGAACUCUCAGGAAACUUCCUCUCUUCCCAUAAAAAUAAUUAUAUAGUUAUCCUUGGGCAAUCUUAAAUCUUAAUUAGUACACUCACGUUCCCUAAUGGAUGACACCCUGCUUAAGAUAACACAUGCAGAUCCAUGGUACACAGACAUCGUAAACUUUAUAGUAAAAGGCUAUGUCCCCCCUGGUACAAACAAAAGGAAGUUGCUUCACGAUAGUCGUUUCCACCUUUGGGAUGAGCCAUAUCUUUUCCGAGUCUGCGCUGAUGGACUCUUGAGAAGGUGUGUUCCUAUGGCUGAGGCUACUCAAAUUAUGGAAAGAUGCCAUGCCUCGCCAUAUGGAGGACACUAUGGAGCAUUCCGGACACAUGCUAAAAUUUGGCAAAGUGGCUUUUUUCUGGCCAACGAUGUAUGAAGGUACAAAGGACUUUGUCAGGAGAUGCCACCGAUGUCAAAAACAUUUGAAUAUCAACUCACGAAAUGAAAUGCCUCUCAUAAAUAAUCUUCAAGUAGAACUUUUCGAUGUAUGGGGCAUUGAUUUCAUAGGGCCAUUCCCUAUUUUCGGGAAUUGCGAGUAUAUCUUAGUAGCUGUGGACUACGUGUCCAAAUGGGUAGAAGCCCUACCUUGUCGAUCAGCUGAUUCAAAACAUGCCAAGAGAAUGUUCCAUGAAGUAAUCUUUUCUCGCUUUGGUAUACCCCGGAUAGUUAUAAGCGAUGGAGGUUCCCACUUCAUUGACAAAAUCUUCCGGAAGUACCUAGCUGAUCAUGGAGUUCGACACAACGUCGCAACACCAUACCAUCCUCAGACUAGCGGUCAAGCCAAAACAUCUAACAAACAAAUCAAAAAUAUUUUACAAAAGACCGUAGAUGAGAUGGGUAAGGGGUGGAAGGACAAACUUCCUGAUGCACUUUGGGCAUAUAGAACUGCAUUCAAAACACCCAUAGGCAUGACACCUUAUCAACUUGUAUAUGGAAAAACUUGUCAUUUGCCUAUGGAAGUAGAGUUUAAGGCUCAUUGGGCACUCAAGAAAUGGAACAUGGAUCUCCACCUCGCUAGCGAGAAUCGUCUGAUGCAACUAUCUGAGCUAGAAGAAUGGAGAGAGAAAGCCUACCACAAUUCAAGGAUCUAUAAAGAGAGAACAAAACGAUGGCAUGAUAAGAGAAUCAAGCACAAGGAGUUUAAGCCUGGAGAUAAGGUUCUACUAUUCAAUUCAAGAGUUAAGCUCUUUGGGCAUGGUAAGCUACGAAGUAAGUGGGAUGGACCAUACAAGGUUAUUGACACUUCAACUCAUGGAGCCAUUACCAUCCAAGAUGACAUAGGUAACACUUUUAAGGUAAAUGGUCAACGCUUGAAAUCUAUCUCGAGCCACAAAACAACCUGGUAGAGGAACUUGAUGUGAUUGAGUUCAUAGAAUUCUCAUAUUAAGCUCUCAUAAGCUCUAGACAAUUACCUAACCCUUAAUAUGCUCCACAAGUUUUGUUGUCUAUUUGGGUUGUGUAGGAUUUUGAGGCUUAAGAAGAAUGAGACCGAACAUGCAGGCCACAAGAGUGAACGACUAUGUCAACAUCCAGCUUGGGGGAGGCACCCCCACGUGUAUCUAGAUAAGUAUUACUUUUCUUUCUUGGUUUUAUUUACUAGGAUUCAGAAAUAAAUAAAAAAGAUGCAUAACCAUGAAACCAAAAAAAGUUUUUCUUUUGAGUAAUAUACAAUAGUUUUGUAUAAUCCUAAGUUUUAAAUAAAAUAAAAAGAAAGUUUGAUCCAAGUCUAGGUAAUUGACAAGCAUGAUAUGAGAAGGUCUAAGCUACUAUUUAACUUGUUCUAAGUUUUGCUAGAGUUCUGGAGAUUUUAUCUUUUGAAAAUCUAAAAAUAAAUGAGAUCCUAUUUGACAUAAUACCUAGAGUCUUAUAAGAUAUAAAUAUUAAAACUGUGGGCACUUGCUUUGUUCAAGCCAUUGUUAAUUCUUGUAGUUUUGGUUGAGAGAAUUAUCAUGCUCUAAAGAUCAAGAUCUUUUUGUUUUAAAAAUAUAAAAGAUUCACUCUUCCGAAGUAUUAUUGCGUUAGAGGCAUGGGACUAUGCAAAAAUUUGAUUCGAAAAAAAGAGUGAGACCAGAGGUAAAAAUGGAUAAGUGUCUGAAGUAGAAUAAGGGGUACAAAGAUACCCACCUGAGUGGAAAAAAUGGACACGUGUCCGAUAGUAGAAUUAGGGGUACUUGUUGCCCACAUAAAAAAGAAGAGAGAGAGACUGAAAAAAAAUAAAAAAAUGACAGCCCAUGGUCCCUCUAAUAAGCAAUAUGCCAGUAAGAGAUGACAAACUUUUCAAAAAAGUCAAAGGUCUUGAUCUAGGAGUAUGACAUUCCUCUCCCUUGCUCCGAGCAUUGACAUAGCAAAAUGCAAAGUAAGUAUGCUAAAACUUUUAAAGCUCUACUUAUUUAUCUUUCGAGAAGAAGGCAGAUGCCUCAGUUUUAUUUUGGAAACAUAAAAAAAAACUCCAGUAAGACAGAAGAACUUGAGACAUAGUGCUUGACUUGAUCGUUCUGUUUUUUAAUCACUUAAGACCUUAGUGAUAACUUAAAAACCCUGUAGUAAGAGGCAUAAACGUAACCCCUGUUUCCUUGCUGAUUUUAGCUUUGCUCAGGGACGAGCAAAUGUUAAGUUUGGGGGAGCCUGUUGAUGGUCCUUAAGUAUCAAAUUUAAUUAUCAAAUAAACAAAGAAAAGGAUCCAAAUGCAACCGACAUCCAAACUUAGGGUUUUAUCUGACAGAAUUCCACGAGUUUUGGUGUUUGUCUAUUUCUGCAGGGGGUUAUCAGGAAAUACGGAAGAAAGGCCCACAUGUCGGGAUUACAUAGAGAUAUUAACGAGCCGCACAAUUUUCUACCAUCUAGAAGACUCCAGAAGCCACGGGAACAAAUGGGAAGGCAAAUGGGCUUAGAGACAGGGCGCCCGCCCUACUCUCCUGGGCGCCCGCCCUGCUACGGUGCCCAAUCAGAGUCCUUUUCGCGGAUCGUGCUCCACCGACCUAAGGAAAACCGUGCGAUUAAUGUCGGUUUGAUCCGACGGCCCAGAUUCACUUGAGGGGACUAUAUAAGCAGACCCCCACCAGCCCCUGGAGGCAUACCUCUUCUACAGAAUCAAAGUUAGGGUUUCAAUUCUUUAUCCAAGUAGAGAGGAUCCCUCUAGUUCAUCUAGUUCUAGUUCUAGUUCCUCUAGUUCUAGUUCUAGUUAGUUCUAGUUGUAAUCUAGAAAAUAGGGAGAGAGAAGAGGAGAGCGGAGGAGGAGGAGCCGGAUCUGUCGGAUCUUCCUCAACAUUGUACUUUUGCAGCAACUGGUUCGUUCUUCAUUGUUCUCCAGGUUCUUCAAUUCAUAAUUCCUGAGUUCUUUAAUUACUUUUAUUUACAUUCAAGUUAUUUAUUGGAUUCCCGCUUGCAUCAAGUGGUCUAAUCUUUGCAACAUUAGAGUAGUAAUUAAUAGAUUAGACGUGGUGUUUAGUCUUGCAAUUACCUAGAAUUGCACCCAAUCCUGCGGAUUGUUGUGGUAGCCCUAGGGUAGUGACAACCCUAACGGUCGACGUAUUCCACCUCGUUCGGAUCGGUGUUUGUAGGAUCGUAGUUAGAGCUUCCUAGCCCCCUUCUCAUCUCUUUCUGCGGUUAGUGUUCUGAUGUCUCGAAAUAAAUAAUCUUUGUGGUAAUUCUUGAUUCUUAGAUCAACUAGAGAACUCUCAGGAAACUUCCUCUCUUCCCAUAAAAAUAAUUAUAUAGUUAUCCUUGGGCAAUCUUAAAUCUUAAUUAGUACACUCACGUUCCCUGUGGAAAAUUGAUACUCUGGAAUAUUCUCGGG
rnacentral:lncRNA from 1 species